AAGAUGCCAUUUCAUCCUGUGCAUGGGAA
rnacentral:piRNA from 1 species